CAAAUCUUAGGAAUGGGAACUCACUGAGAUUUUGUGUUUACACCGUUUUUCAGUUGUUACAGGUCUAAAGAUUAUUCGCCAGGAACACAAGCUUGUCCACAGUCUCUGGCUUCAACAGAGACCGAUGGCAUGUAACUAUGUUACCACCAAUGCUAAAUGCCCUUUCAGAAGGAGCACUUGUGGCCGGGAUGCAGAGAUAUUUCUGGGCGAGUCUUGCCAACCUUGGAAAAUUAGUUUGGUACAGCCGCCACCAGUCCAGUGGGUCAGUCUCUCCAUCAACCUGCAUUGUCUGCAGGUACAUCAGCAGCUUCAGCACCGUCAGCUGCAACUUCUGUGUUUGUGUGUGGCUCUGUGACCAUUGGAGCUUGCACCUCCAACAGUGACUGAAUUUCUGCCACCGCUCUGGUCUUCAUGAACUCCUGGCGGUUGUUAGGUUGUAAUAGUUUAUUUUGAUAUUGCACAUGUACAGAGAGGUCUUAUGCUUUAAAUUAAUACAUAUAGAAAGAUAUUAUAACGGGAAAUAUUAGGGAGAAUAUUGAUAUUGUUGUUAAUGUAUUAUGAAGCAUAGGGGUAAUGUCUACUCUAUGCAUAUGUCGAUGGCAAGAAGUAAUGUUAUGUAUGUGCAUGGAGUGAAUGUUAGUCUAGUAUUAUUUUAGAACUGUUGGAGCCGGUUGAAGCCCGUGAAAGUGACUCAGACAAUAGACGGGACUUUUAUUGUGAAAGUGACUAAUGCUGACAGAAUGGUGGACGGAACUUUUGUUGUGAAAAUACUUGACCGGGGAUGACAUCUUGACCGGGGGAUCAUGACAUUCGACCCCUCAUUGUUCUAGUGAGACUUUGAACCAACGAGAAGGUGUUAAGGGUGGGACUAACCUGUGAGAAUAGGUGAUUGGCUGAUGUUGUUACUAAAACACGAUGCAUUUGGGAACUCGCUCUCUUUCGUCCUGAUGCCGGUUAGGCAGCAACACUUGUUUCUUGAAGCAUUGUACCUGCGGAGCCUCGCAUCAUCACGGAACCCACGAUCGUGAGCUUUGGAUUAUUUGUUAAACUUUCGUUUAUACUCCUUGCCAUUAAAUACUGUUAAACUUGA